rnacentral:rRNA from 1 species
UUGACAUCCAGAGAAUUUAGCAGAGAUGCUUUAGUGCCUUCGGGAACUCUGAGACAGGUGCUGCAUGGCUGUCGUCAGCUCGUGUUGUGAAAUGUUGGUUAAGUCCGCAACGAGCGCAACCCUUAUCCUUUGUUGCCAGCACGUAAUGGUGGGAAACUCAAAGGAGACUGCCGGUGAUAAACCGGAGGAAGGUGGGGAUGACGUCAAGUCAUCAUGGCCCUUACGAGUAGGGCUACACACGUGCUACAAUGGCGUAUACAAAGAGAAGCGACCUCGCGAGAGCAAGCGGACCUCAUAAAGCGCGUCGUAGUCCGGAUUGGAGUCUGCAACUCGACUCCAUGAAGUCGGAAUCGCUAGUAAUCGUAAAUCAGAAUGUUACGGUGAAUACGUUCCCGGGCCUUGUACACACCGCCCGUCACACCAUGGGAGUGGGUUGCAAAAGAAGUAGAUAGCUUAACCUUCGGGAGGGCGUUUACCACUUUGUGAUUCAUGACUGGGGUGAAGUCGUAACAAGGUAGGCGUAGUGCU